rnacentral:lncRNA from 1 species
AAUAAGUGAAGAAACAAGGGGUUGUCGGAUCGUUGGCGCUAACCAUUAAUCCCAAAAGCUCGAGCUGUUAGAAAUACGCAACCAAUUCACUUAAAGCGUACAGAAACAGCGCCCACGGAUCUCGAUUGUGACUCGGCCCACCUGGCCUCACGCCACUUCGAACAUGACUCGGCCCAACCCAGCCUCACGCCAUUUCGAACAUGACUCGGCCCACAUGGCCUCCCGCCACAGGGCAGGAUGCUGGCCCAAAGCCAACAAUCCCCCCUCCAGCACCUGCACACAUUUGCAGCAUACAGGAAUCGAACCCGUGACCUCUGGCUCUGAUACCACUUUUAGAUCGUUAGCGCUAACUAUUAAUCCCAAAAACUCGAGCUGUUAGAAAUACGCAACGAAUUCACUUAAAGCGUACAGAAACAGCGCCCACGGGUCUCGAUUGUGACUCGGCCCACAUGACCUCCUGCCACAGGGCAGGAUGCUGGCCUAUUUAAGCCAACAAUCCCCCCUACAGCACCUUCAUACAUUUGCAGCAUACAGGAAUCGAACCCAUGACCUCUGGCUCUGAUACCACUUUUGGAUCGUUGGCGCUAACCUUUAAUCCCAAAAGCUUGAGCUGUUAGAAAUACGCAACCAAUUCACUUAAAGCGUACAGAAACAGCGCCCACGGAUCUCGAUUGUGACUCGGCCCACCUUGCCUCACGCCACUUCGAAUAUGACUCGGCCCAACCCAGUCUCACGCCAUUUCGAACAUGACUCGGCCCACAUGGCCUCCCGCCACAGGGCAGGAUGCUGGCCCAAAGCCAACAAUCCCCCCUCCAGCACCUGCACACAUUUGCAGCAUGCAGGAAUCGAACCCGUGACCUCUGGCUCUGAUACCACUUUUAGAUCUUUAGCGCUAACUAUUAAUCCCAAAAACUCGAGCUGUUAGAAAUACGCAACGAAUUUACUUAAAGCGUACAGAAACAACGCCCACGGGUUUCGAUUGUGACUCGGCCCACCUGGCCUCAUGCCACUUCGAACAUGACUCGACCCAACCCAGCCUCACGCCAUUUCGAACAUGACUCGGCCCACAUGACCUCCUACCACAGGGUAGGAUGCUGGCCCAUUUAAGCCAACAAUCCCCCCUACAGCACCUGCAUACAUUUGCAGCAUACAGGAAUCGAACCCGUGACCUCUGACUCUGAUACCACUUUUAGAUCGUUGGCGCUAACCAUUAAUCCCAAAAGCUUGAGCUGUUAGAAAUACGCAACCAAUUCACUUAAAGCGUACAGAAACAGCGCCCACGGGUCUCGAUUGUGACUCGGCCCACCUGGCCUCACGCCACUUCGAACAUGACUUGGCCCAACCCAGCCUCACGCCAUUUCGAACAUGACUCGGCCCACAUGGCCUCCCGCCACAGGGCAGGAUGCUGGCCCAUUUAAGCCAACGGGGGUGACAUAAAGAAUAGUUUAAAAAAUUUUAAUGUUUUCUUUUGGGCAUUAGAGUGGUGUGCACAUGUUAG